GCGACUCUAGCUCGCAAACAAUGCGCGUGGCGCCUGCUCCCUCCCAGCCGGGGGUCGCGCGGUGAGCCAGCUGGGGUCUCGGAACGGAGCCGGAGCAGGGUGCCCGGCAGCCGGGCCUGAGGAGGGAGGAAGCCCCUGACCUUUCCAAGGGGCAGGAGUUUCUGCGGAGCUUCUGGGAGGCCCCCGGCAUCAUCUCUGCACCCGGGACAGCUGGGGCGCCUCUCGGUUCCUCUUCAGCCGGGGGUGGCUUCGUGGAGGCGAAGAAUACUUGGAAAACCGGAGGAGCAGAGAGAAGAAAAUGAGAAUCACCUGUAUGCCCGUAAGAUGCAGGCUCAUCACAUGUUAGACUGUUGGGGGCAGGUGGGGAGAGCUCCUUGCCAUUAUGAGCAUGAAGGUAAAAUUUACUUACAUUGAAAUGCAGAGAUCUGAAGGGUAGAAUCUGAUGAAUUUUGACAAACAUCUACCCCAAGCGUUCCCCUUCCAAUCAAGAUCUAGAAGAUUUCCCUCUGGCCCCAGAAGAAGCCGGCCCAGCCCCCACAGACAGCCAUUCUUCUGACGUCUGUCACCAUAAAUGAGUUUUGCCUGUCAAGUAAUUGGAAUCAUAUGGCCCCUAUGUGCUCUCCUGAGUCUGGUCUCUUUCACUCAGCACACAUAAUGUUUUCAGAUUCACCCGGGGCCCUGGCUUGCUCCUCUUUGUUGCUGAAUAGU
rnacentral:lncRNA from 1 species